rnacentral:lncRNA from 1 species
CCAUUUGUCUUGUAGAAUGAUCCACGUUCUGGAUUUAUCCAAUUGUUUACUUACAUAGGCAUUUAACUUUUUCCUUUUCUUAAGCAUAUUUUAUAGGCACAAAAUCAUAGCCCAGUUUAAAACUGCUGUACAGGUAAUUUUUAUGACAACAAUAUUGUUUUGAGUAAUAUAUUUUUUGCUAUUACGUGCAAUUUCCCUGGACUGUCACCCUAUUAAAAUGGGCUUAUAUUGAUUAAUAUAUUAAAGAAUAAUUUUUUGAAAAUUUCCAUGAACCCCAGACACUUCUAUGUAAGAAAGAUAUGUUUAUAAAUAAUGAGCUACUAUUUAUUUAAUGAAUAGUGUAUGUUAAGUAUUUUACUUGUUAUCUUGCUCCCUACAGCAAUUCUGAUUGGUGAUAUUAUCUCCAUUUUACAGAUAAUGAAACUGAGGCUCAGAAAGAGUGAGCUCUGUGCUUAGGCUUACCUCAGUGUCUUUUAUAAGGGACACUAGAUUAUUAAUAGUUUCUUUUUUUUUUUGAGAUGAGAUUGAUGAGAUACAAGAUAGGAUCUUGAUUCUAUAACCUUAUUAGUGAUUUUUUUUUCCAGUAAGAUGUAACUUUCUUAGCCCAGUUUUGUGUUGGCUGGUUUCGUAUGAAAUGAUAUAAUGUCAUUUGGGUAGAUAUGGUACUAAGUUAUUCUUCUCAUUGUAAAAAGCAGAACCUGAACAUUUUAGUCAGUAGAUAAAAUCAUGAUGGUUACCGUUUUGAGGAUGAGGGAUAAGACAAUGAAAACUUUGUUGGUUUGCGUGUUUUGGUUGCAUUACAAUGCUGUCAUCAUCUUAUUAAACCACAUCUUUUUUCCCCCUGUUUCAAAAAAAAUCUACUCAGCUUCUUCAUACUGGAGUGUAUAUUCAGAGACAAGUAACAUGGACAAACUAUUGCCACAUUCCUCAGUGCUCACUUGGAAUACAGUAAGUUAACACUGUGUAUGCUGUAUGCAAAUAAAAUCAAUUCACAGUUGUGGGUCAGUUGUUGGACACCUCUCUUAUAGCCAUCAAGGUCGUGAUUUCACUACUGUUUUGACUGAUAAAGAACUCAGUUGAAUUUUUUUUGGCAGAAAAGUAAUAGCAAAUCCCUGCUAUUGGCCAAAAGUAUUUGUAUAAAAACAGUAAAACCAAAGGAGCAGGUACACAGGGUAUUUAUUAUUCUUCCUAUUACCAGGCAGAACUAAACCUCUAUCAUGGUAUUUUUAUUUUCUAAG